ensembl:snRNA U6 U6 spliceosomal RNA
GUGCCCAGUUCACAGCACAUAUACUAAAAUUGGAACAAUACAGAGAUUAGCAUGGCCUCUGCACAAGGAUGACACGCAAAUGUGUGGAACAUUCUAUAUUUUU